UUACCACCUUGACAUGAAAGAGAUUUCGAAAGACACAGGUGCUGCAUGGCUGUCGUCAGCUCGUGUCGUGAGAUGUUGGGUUAAGUCCCGCAACGAGCGCAACCCUGUCUUAAUUGCCACAUAUGGGACUUUAAGAAACUGCCGGUGACAACCGGAGGAAGGUGGGGAUGACGUCAAGUCCUCAUGGCCCUUAUGGUGGGCUUCACACGUCAUACAAUGGGGUACAAGGGGCACCGCGAGGGGAGCAAUCCCAAAACCAUCGUAGUCCGGAUUGGAGUCUGCAACUCGACUCCAUGAAGUCGGAAUCGCUAGUAAUCGUGAUCAGAUGCACGGUGAAUACGUUCCCGGGUCUUGUACACACCGCCCGUCACACCNUGGGAGUGGGUUACCGAA
rnacentral:rRNA from 1 species